rnacentral:rRNA from 1 species
AUGAACGCUAGCGACAGGCUUAACACAUGCAAGUCGAGGGGCAGCACAGGUAGCAAUACCGGGUGGCGACCGGCGCACGGGUGAGUAACGCGUAUGCAACUUGCCUAUCAGAGGGGGAUAACCCGGCGAAAGUCGGACUAAUACCGCAUGAAGCAGGGGCCCCGCAUGGGGAUAUUUGCUAAAGAUUCAUCGCUGAUAGAUAGGCAUGCGUUCCAUUAGGCAGUUGGCGGGGUAACGGCCCACCAAACCGACGAUGGAUAGGGGUUCUGAGAGGAAGGUCCCCCACAUUGGUACUGAGACACGGACCAAACUCCUACGGGAGGCAGCAGUGAGGAAUAUUGGUCAAUGGGCGUAAGCCUGAACCAGCCAAGUCGCGUGAGGGAUGAAGGUUCUAUGGAUCGUAAACCUCUUUUAUAAGGGAAUAAAGUGCGGGACGUGUCCCGUUUUGUAUGUACCUUAUGAAUAAGGAUCGGCUAACUCCGUGCCAGCAGCCGCGGUAAUACGGAGGAUCCGAGCGUUAUCCGGAUUUAUUGGGUUUAAAGGGUGCGUAGGCGGCCUUUUAAGUCAGCGGUGAAAGUCUGUGGCUCAACCAUAGAAUUGCCGUUGAAACUGGGAGGCUUGAGUAUGUUUGAGGCAGGCGGAAUGCGUGGUGUAGCGGUGAAAUGCUUAGAUAUCACGCAGAACCCCGAUUGCGAAGGCAGCCUGCCAAGCCAUUACUGACGCUGAUGCACGAAAGCGUGGGGAUCAAACAGGAUUAGAUACCCUGGUAGUCCACGCAGUAAACGAUGAUCACUAGCUGUUUGCGAUACACUGUAAGCGGCACAGCGAAAGCGUUAAGUGAUCCACCUGGGGAGUACGCCGGCAACGGUGAAACUCAAAGGAAUUGACGGGGGCCCGCACAAGCGGAGGAACAUGUGGUUUAAUUCGAUGAUACGCGAGGAACCUUACCCGGGUUUGAACGCAUUUUGACAGCUCUGGAAACAGAGCCUCUAGCAAUAGCGAUUUGCGAGGUGCUGCAUGGUUGUCGUCAGCUCGUGCCGUGAGGUGUCGGCUUAAGUGCCAUAACGAGCGCAACCCCUAUCGACAGUUACUAACGGGUGAAGCCGAGGACUCUGUCGAGACUGCCGGCGCAAGCCGCGAGGAAGGUGGGGAUGACGUCAAAUCAGCACGGCCCUUACGUCCGGGGCGACACACGUGUUACAAUGGCGUGGACAAAGGGAGGCCACCUGGCGACAGGGAGCGAAUCCCCAAACCACGUCUCAGUUCGGAUCGGAGUCUGCAACCCGACUCCGUGAAGCUGGAUUCGCUAGUAAUCGCGCAUCAGCCAUGGCGCGGUGAAUACGUUCCCGGGCCUUGUACACACCGCCCGUCAAGCCAUGGGAGCCGGGGGUACCUGAAGUCCGUAACCGAAAGGAUCGGCCUAGGGUAAAACUGGUGACUGGGGCU